UCCCUAGUGGUCUAGUGGUUAAGACUUUGCCUUCCAAGGCAGGGGUACAGGUUCCAGCCCCAUUUGGGGAG
rnacentral:tRNA from 1 species